AGGUUCUUGAAAUCUCUGAUGGGGAUUCCAUCCACGGAGAAGAUGAUGUGUCUGGGAUUCCAGAGAAUGGAGUAGGUGUGAAAGUCCUUUGUGGGGUCGAACCAGAGACGGAACUGCUGCUCGCGGUUGCCCUUGCCGUGUGCAAAGACAUUGGUGUGGAGUGUGUAAGGUUCACCGGUGGAGUUGCCGAGGAACUCGAAGUCAAUCUCGUCGUGGGCGGCGCCUUGAGAGGAGAGGUAGAGUGUGGUGACGGUACCGGCAGAGUUGCCAGGGACGAGCUUCAGCUGCAUGUCGAACUUCCCGAAGAGGUAUUCUUGUUUGGAUUGGAAGCCCGAGCCGGAGGAUUUAUCGAGGGAGAGGGUGAGGAGUUGACCGUUGUCGAGGAUCUUGCCGCGGCCAUCACCCCAGGUGAUGUCGAAAUCGUUAUAGAAGUUGCCGGCAGAGGUGAUGGAGAAAAGAGAAGCGGUUGCUAGAAAUAGGAGAGGAAGGAGAGAUGCCAUGAUUUGAACUCGGG
rnacentral:misc_RNA from 1 species